AGGGAAGAAGCCCCGUUCUCCAACGUUCAGGCUGGAGCUGACCCUCUGCGGGGAGCGCGAUCUGGGGAAGGAGGCGUCCGUGGGCGGAGCCGAGGAAGUCAACGUGCUGGUGUCUCGGUGUGCUGUGGCGAUUGUGUAUCGCGCCGUUUCCCAGUGCCCUCAGCAGAGCUCUUCCCACCCUAAGUCAGAUCGGCCGCAGACAGGGUCUUGCUAUGCAUGUGACGAAGUCUUCACAAUCCUUUUGCUCCAGUUUACCGAUAGCUGGGAUUAAAGGUUAUAUACUGUGACAGCUCCAGGAACUGCUCCAUUAUACUGACAUAAAACUCUGUUUGUUCAUUAAUUUUCUGUAAAGCCCAUUGGGCUUUAAAAGUAGCUCUUCAUGUGUUCCAUGUUCACUGAUUUUUCCUUGAUCAAGGACAGCAACAAAAUUGGCAUUCUUAAUAGUGGACAGGCGGUGAGCUAUGAUCAAUACUGUUCUUCCUUCCAUCAGCCGAUCAAGUGCCUCCUGUACCAGAUGCUCAUUUUCAGCAUCCAGUGCACUGUAACAGACAAGGUCACACACAAGAGGAAGCAGAGAUGUUAGAGAUGCACACAUGGUUGCACACAUUAUUGAGCUACUCCCCCUUGGACACACACACAUCACUGUGACACCCUCCAACAUGGCUACACAUAUUAGACACUCUAACAUGCUUACACAUAUCACAGAGAUACCCUCACCUGGUUGCUUCAUCAAGGAGAAGAAUUUUCGGGUUCUGAAGAAGGAAAGAGAAAAUGAUUUAUUAGCAGACACAGCUCUGGGCAGGAAGAAGGAACAGCAUGGGCUGCUGAGAAGGCUCAGCAAGUAAAGACACUUAACCACCAAACCUGACAACCUGAAUUCGAUUUCCAAAUCCCACAUCAUUAGAAGGAGAGAACUGCCUUCCACAAUUUGUUCACUGACCUUUGAGUAUCCUUCACCCCAAGAUAAAUAAUACAUAAAAUAAAAAUAUGAUUUUUUUUACUA